rnacentral:rRNA from 1 species
UCUUGGUCAAUUAGAGGAAGUAAAAGUCGUAACAAGGUCUCCGUUGGUGAACCAGCGGAGGGAUCAUUACUGAGUUUACGCUCUACAACCCUUUGUGAACAUACCUAUAACUGUUGCUUCGGCGGGUAGGGUCUCCGCGACCCUCCCGGCCUCCCGCCUCCGGGCGGGUCGGCGCCCGCCGGAGGAUAACCAAACUCUGAUUUAACGACGUUUCUUCUGAGUGGUACAAGCAAAUAAUCAAAACUUUUAACAACGGAUCUCUUGGUUCUGGCAUCGAUGAAGAACGCAGCGAAAUGCGAUAAGUAAUGUGAAUUGCAGAAUUCAGUGAAUCAUCGAAUCUUUGAACGCACAUUGCGCCCGCCAGCACUCUGGCGGGCAUGCCUGUUCGAGCGUCAUUUCAACCCUCAAGCUCUGCUUGGUGUUGGGGCCCUACAGCUGAUGUAGGCCCUCAAAGGUAGUGGCGGACCCUCCCGGAGCCUCCUUUGCGUAGUAACUUUACGUCUCGCACUGGGAUCCGGAGGGACUCUUGCCGUAAAACCCCCAAUUUUCCAAAGGUUGACCUCGGAUCAGGUAGGAAUACCCGCUGAACUUAAGCAUAU